CCAGAGAAAACAGUCUUUGGGUUCAGCGGGUCCUGAGGCAAAGAAACUUUAUUAUGUUUUGGGCAGGAUCUGUCAAACACUGCCAGGUGCAGUGCUAUAUACCUAACUUGAAUCUUCCUGGCAGAUGGGGGCCUAAGCUAGAAAGCAUGCAGCUGAGGAUGAAGGCCGUGAUAGUCUGUUUUUCAUCAAAAGCUUGAGAUCACAGCAGCAACACAGAGCUGGAAGAGCAAGAGAAGUCUGGGGCUCUGAAACGGACUGGGAGGGUAAGAGUGCAGCUGAAGAACUUGGAGAGCCACUUGAGGAGGAGGAAAAGAUCAAUGGAGGAAGGAAGCACACCUUCCCAUGCAGAAGACAGAGUUGUACUCCGAUCUCAUGUACAGCAAGAAGAGCAUCCAGCUCCAAAGCUUAUCCACCAUGGGCAAGACAAAGGAAAAUUCCAGAUCUGAAUUUGCAGCCAGAAUUCAGGAACCAGAGGAAGGAGCUCAGGAGGUUGUGCUUUUCAGGACAGCUGUGGAGCUGCAUUGUGACAAAGGACUGAGACGGACGAGUUUCAAGGCUGGGAGCCACCCAUAUACACUGAGUGUAUAUGAGGCAGGCUGAUGAGGGGCUGAUGGAGAGGUGACUAUGUCACACCGCUGUCUGGGCCAGGAGCAUGCUACAAGUACAGUCAGAAGCAAAGCUGUCUGUCCACCUGUUGACUUCACCAGCUUGGAGGAUCUGAGGGCUGUAGCCACGGUCAGCAGCAAUGCUUUCCACCAGGAGUAUGAGCAGGUGCAAGGGACAGCAGCUGCAACCCUUGGCGUUUGCCAAGCGCAAACCAAAGCAAAAGGAUUCUGGAAGAAAGUCAGAAGUGAAACACUGGACUGCUGAAGUGCACAGUGAGGAAAAGACUGGGAGAAGAAUGUGAAGGAUUCCUGGCCUCAAUAGAAGGUAAAAAGUCAUAAAAUAGCAGGGUAACAGAAGUUAUUGGAAAAGGGCCAUAGUAUCUGUUAUGCAAAGGAAAGCAGGAUUUGGCGGUGCCACACCAAGAGGGACAUCCAUAUUCUGUGCUGGAUGAAUACCUGGCUUGCUUUCUCAGCCACUUAAUACUGACCUCAGCCUACUGGGUGCAGUGCACACCUUAGAAAUGUCCCUUUUGCUCUCAGGAUGUGGUUAGUGGCUGUGCUACCUCCAGAAGAGUGGUUUGAUAGCAGUGGGGACUUGUUCCUUGUGGGGCCUUAAGGAAUCUUGUAAUGGCAGAACUACAGGGAAAAACAGUAAAGAGACAAAAAUACUUCAGAAUGAGGUUAAACAUUCCUAAAAGCAACAAAAAGAGUUGGUUGGAUACUCAUGUUAAGUAACAUGAGAACAGAGAAUUAUUUCUUUUUACCCAGACAGUGCAGGUCCGCUUUGCUUUGUUGCUUGGUGUGUUUACUAAGAAGAUGAGGGGUAGAGCUACACUGCCCAUGUGUAUUGAGCAUGUGUAAGCAGAUGUAAGCGUGGUAUCCCACCUAGCACUCUGGAGCAAAGUUGAACGUUUCCUGGGAGAAAAAUAGCAACCUAAUGGGAUCCUAUUACUGCAAUAUCUGCUAUUUCUUUCUAACAUUGCAGGCUUACACCAAUGCAUAUUGCUCAUCUAGGAGGGUUGUUGAUUUUUUUUUUUGCUGUGGAAAAACUGAAGUCAUAAAACUCCAGGACGUCAGGAUACGCCAGCAGGUAAGUGCAUUUUAACCUGCCAGGAAAUCUCUGAUAAUUUGGGCUUUGCUGUAUACUUAUGUGUGUAUAUGUGUGUGUGUAUUUGCUACUGUUUUACUUUAUGGUAAUUUUACAUACUACCAUACACAUACAUAUAAUACAUGUGUAUUUGGGGUUUAAUGACAUGGGUUUGAUGAGAAGUGAGGUGGCAGGUUAGAAAGGAAAGUGGAAGCACAGCCUUGCAUCUGUCCCUUCUGUUGUAGUCACUUCCAUGUCAGCAAACACAGUGUGUGUGUGCACGCUGUCACUGGUCAAGUAUCUGUCAUUUGUUAGCCUUUUUGACAUCUUUGUUGGGGAGAAGGUUUUACCGUGUCUUUUUAACACACGAUGUUGUAAGCUGUCAGAAGGUCAUACAGGUAGCUGUUUUCAUGCUGUGCACAUUUCUUCCACUUGCCUAUGCAUAUACAAGCAGACUUUCAUUGUCUGGCAUCUAUUUAUGAAGGUCUGAACAGAAAGGGCAGUGAUAAAGUUCUUUGUAAGACCAACUCAGGACUUUUUUUUUUUUUUUUCUGAGGCUUGCAUGAACAUGGCAGCAUCUGCUCUGUCCUGGCUGGCACAGAAGCACCUGGAAGAGUGGCAGCAUCACCCCAGCCAACUCCCUCACACCUCAUCACUUCAGAAACAGAGUGAGAAUGGAAGAGAAGGGGACAACAUGGUGGCACUGCAGAGCCAGGGCAGAGGAUCCCUAUGAAGUGGCAGCAGUUCAGGACAGAGUUAUGACACAAAUCAAGGCGCUGGUUGAAGCUUUGUUCCAGGUGCCUCUACCAAGAAACUACCUUCAAAGAAAGCAGAGCUUGAAGAAGUUGCUGACCUUCUGAUGCAUCAUUCUAAUCAGCCAGUGUUUCUAAGCUCUCCAGAUCGGCAGCAGUUCAGCUGAAAAGCAAAAUCAUGGGCAGCUGCACAGGACCAAAUGCUUAAGCGCUGUGAAAGAAACAAAACAGGGCUCCACAAGGUCCAGCAAGUCUUCAGUGAAGUGUAUUAUAGCUGGAAUAUGCACUGGAACUGCCACAUCUCCCUCCCACAAGAAUCACCUGUAGAUUUUGGAAGACAUCAAUUUGCAGUCCAUGAUACCAGUGCAUGAUCAGCCUUAAGGACUUCAGUAAAAAGGAUCAUACAUUGGCUGAGGCAAUGGGAAACUAAGGCAGUGGGAUCAGAAACAUCUCUGUUGAACAACAUACACCAGCUGCAUUCCAGUCAUGUGUGGAGACAAAGACAGGUACCUCUUCAUAAAAAUGAGUAAAAAACAAAGAACUAUCAUUAAGUUAAGCACUGGCAAAUUUCAUUAGCAAAUGUAGAAGUGCAGACUGCCCAAAUCAGAACUCUAGAGAAGAGAAGAAGCACAUAUCACUGCUGCAGUCACUGCUGGAGUGCGUCUGAAAGCAAUUUGGUGAUUUGCUGUCAUGCUUCAAAGUCAGUUGCAGCAGAAAGCAGAAAAGUUGAUGAGAAUCUCCUUAAAACAAUCCCUUG